CUCUCUCUCUCUCUCUCUCUCUCUCUCUCUCUCUCUCCCUCUCUCCAUUCGUCUUGGUGCUCUUGGUUCUUGAUAUUUUCACCCCUUUCUUUUGUUAUUUUCACCCGCUAGAUUUUAGUUGGUGGGCGGAAGAAUCUGUGUCUUUAUUUAUUUUUUGGAAUUUAGGGUAGCUAUUUAUGGUUGUAGUUGUCCUAUUUGAUUAAAUGCACGAAUCAUCUUAAUUAAAUGCAUGCAUGUAAUUAGUGUUUAUAUUCCGUUUUCAUUGAAAUCCAACUGAAAUCAGAUGGUUUCCUCCAUGUUUUCAGGUUUGAAUUGGGAAGAUGGAAUGCAUAAUUCCUUUAAUAAAACAAAAGCAUUUUUUUUAACCCGGGCGCAUUAUAAUUUGACAAAUUGACACUGUAGUUGUUGCAUGAAAUCCUCAUUUUGGAUUCUGAUUCGGUGCAAG
rnacentral:lncRNA from 1 species